GUCCCCCGCCCCACCGCCACCCCGCGUCCCCUCUGGCCCGCCGUGUCCCCCGCCGCCCCACGCCGCACUGCCCCUGCCGUGCCCCCUCUUAUUCCCCUUCUCUAGUUCCAGCGCUCCAGCGAAACCAUGGCGUGACGGGCGUGGUGACCAUGGCCACGCCGGCCGGGAUGACGGCGCCGCGCCGUCCAUUGUUGACCUUGUCGCGCCUGCUAGUCGGAAGACUAUCGCAUUUACCCGACGUUGUACCCCCCUCCUACCCAACAGGCUAUAAGGGCUAGAUGAUCAGUCCAGCAAUGCGGUGUCAGGCAUGGUUUGCUACAUAUGCAGAUGAGACAUCUCUGAAAAACUGAGAUCUGAUUUAAAGAGCAGUUUUGCCAAGCAAGUCUCACUGAAGCCAGUUUAACUUUGGAUGUAGUUGCCAUGUUCUGUUAAGAAAGUAAAGCUUCAUUAUGGGUUUAUAACUAUGUAUUCUUUAUCAAUCUUCACUAUGACUUUAUUCUUCACUACGGUUUUAUCCUACUAGUUACCAAUUCAUGAUUUAUCUAUAGUUUCUAUGUUUUAUAGAUAAUCUUUAUGUCUGUCUGGUUAAUAUACAUGAUAAAUUAUUGAUCGGUCAUCCAUCUAGUGACGUAUGUUGAGUGCGAACACUUCAAUUUUGGAUUUUGGUUGUAUUUUCAGAACACAAAGUAAUAUAUAUCUACUAUUCUAGUGAGCUCUUGCCUAAUUGCAUGAUAUAUGAUUAGCUCCUUCAUAAACCCCGCCACACCUAAAAAUAAUUUCUGCCUUCAUCAUAUGCAGGCUCUUACACAAAGAAUAUUCUUGAGGUGAUGCUAUGUAGAGUUCGAGCUUAUCAACAUUCUUGCCAGCCUUUGGAACUAACCAGUUGGUGUAUCUCUAUUCAUUUGCAGACUUUGGCAGCUAAACAAGGAAUGUCUUAUCAACAAAAUUCCACCACCUCCAGUUCGACCAACUGCUUGUUUGAUCGCUCUUGUAGAUUUUGGAAACAAGCACAGAACUGCCAACUUCGUGUGCUCAGCAACAUGUAGAACAUGAAGUCUAUUUGAAGACCAACUUUUUGGGUGAAUGCAUAGAUAACAUAGAUACAUAUUGUUACAAGUUUUUUUGUAGUAGUAGAUACUUGGAUUGACCAACAAAGCUUGUACGUGCUGAUUUAGGUAUUCUGCUAGUUGUAGCAUUUUUUUAAAUUUUGGUUCUAAACUGACCUUGAAUCUGGUUUCAAACUGACCUUGGGUCUGAUGUAUGUGUGUCAUUUGAUCAUAAAUCUGAUGCGUACAUUGAA